AGCGGGGGCGGGGGUCCCAGGGGAGGGGGGCGUGGGGGCACCGAGCGGGGCUGGGGAGCGGCGCACGGAAAACUUUCCCUGCUUCCAUCAGCCCCCGGGACCGCCGGGCAGCGGAGCGGCUCCGCGCGCCGGUCUCCAAACUUUUCUCCAAGCAGGGAGAGCCGAUAGUUCCCGAAAACACUCCUUAAAAAACACCCAACCAGAUUCUGCAAAAGUUUUCUCCGUUCCGUUUGUCCCGCUAGAGCCCGCGGCGGUGCCAGCCGGGCUCCCGGGCAGGGGCUGCGGGUCCCGGUGCCCCCGGAGCGGCCGCAGCCCCUGCCCUGCCCGGCUUCGGUCAGCGAGCCCCGGAUCCCUGCUGGGCCCUGCAUACUCGGGCUUAUAAUCCUGGUUUGUGACCUCAUGGCUGCUGCCUUUAGAAAUGAUAAUGAUCUAAAUAAACACAAAACCCUCCGGGGGCUCGGCAGGAGCGCUGGUGCCGUGGGGCAGGGUGGAAGGCAGGCGCUUCGGAGAUGCCGUUCCCCGCUUCAGCAGUUGAUUAUUAUUUCCCUUGAGAAGUCCAUACUUAACUGGAGAGAAUGUUGGGUAAAAAGAGUUAAAUACAUGAGUAAUCUUAAUUAUUUUUGUUUGCCGUGAAGUGACCUGGGAAGCACUGCAGUGCACGUUAUCAAAUAAAUAAAUGCAGUAGAACUGUUAAAA